rnacentral:rRNA from 1 species
GAUGAACGCUGGCGGCGUGCCUCAAACAUGCAAGUCGAGCGGGGCUAUGUAAUAUCGCAAGGUAGAACAUAGCCUAGCGGCGAACGGGUGAGUAACACGUGGGUAACCUGCCUGGAAGACAGGGAUAACGAUUCGAAAGGGUCGCUAAUACCUGAUAAUAUCCUUUCAUCGCAUGGUGAUAGGAAGAAAGGGGAAACCCGCUUUCAGAUGGGCCCGCGUCCCAUCAGCUAGUUGGUAAGGUAAAGGCUUACCAAGGCGACGACGGGUAGCCGGUCUGAGAGGAUGUACGGCCACACUGGGACUGAGAUACGGCCCAGACUCCUACGGGAGGCAGCAGUUGGGAAUCUUAGGCAAUGGACGAAAGUCUGACCUAGCGACGCCGCGUGAGGGAAGAAGGCCUUCGGGUGUAAACCUCUGUCAUGGGGAAGAAGUAAGUGACGGUACCCAAGAGGAAGCCCCUGCUAACUACGUG